UGCCUGGCUCCCCGGGACGUGCAGGGCUGCUCAGGGCACUUUCGGACCUGUGGGAGGAAACAGCCUGCAAACCAAACCCGUCCUGCUCCUCAGGUUUCGGUGUGUUCAGCUCCAGGAUGCCCACACGGGGAUGCAGAGAAGUUGAAGCUGUAUUUAUUACUUUCCUGAAGCACAGCUAUCUAAGCAGGCCUGGUGAGGAGUGAUCCCUGGCCGUGGCAUGUCCCAGCAGCCUUGGUGGAGUGUGACAGUGAGGGACGUGUGCUGCCUAACUCACCCCCGGGGAGGUGAGGAGCGACAGGCAUGCUUGCUCACUGCA